rnacentral:rRNA from 1 species
UACGAGUGGUGCAAGCGUUAUUCGGAAUCAUUGGGCGUAAAGGGUGUGUAGGCGGCAUAUCAAGUCUGUUGUUAAAUCUCCCAGCCUAACUGGGAAAAAUGCAGUGGAUACUGAUGUGAUAGAGGAUGGAAGAGAGAAGUGGAAUUUUCGGAGUAGCGGUAAAAUGCGUAGAUCUCGAGAGGAACACCGAUGGCGAAGGCAGCUUCUUGGUCCAUUCCUGACGCUGAUACACG